CCUACGAGAGGCUGCAGUGAGGAAUAUUGGUCAAUGGGCGUAAGCCUGAACCAGCCAAGUCGCGUGAGGGAUGAAGGUUCUAUGGAUCGUAAACCUCUUUUAUAAAGGAAUAAAGUGAGGCCCGUGUGCCUUUUUGUAUGUACUUUAUGAAUAAGGAUCGGCUAACUCCGUGCCAGCCGCCGCGGUAAUACUGAGGAUCCGAGCGUUAUCCGGAUUUAUUGGGUUUAAAGGGAGCGUAGAUGGGUUGUUAAGUCAGUUGUGAAAGGUUGCGGCUCAACCGUAAAAUUGCAAUUGAUACUGGCAGCCUUGAGUACAGUUGAGGUAGGCGGAAUUCGUGGUGUAGCGGUGAAAUGCUUAGAUAUCACGAAGAACUCCGAUUGCGAAGGCAGCUUACUAAACUGCCACUGACAUUGAUGCUCGAAAGUGUGGGUAUCAAACAGGAUUAGAUACCCCUGUAGUC
rnacentral:rRNA from 1 species